UAUGUGAUCGUCUCUCGCAUAUCAAUAAGCGGAGGAAAAGAAACUAACAAGGAUUCCCCUAGUAACGGCGAGUGAAGCGGGAAGAGCUCAAAUUUGAAAUCUUAAAGGGUUUCCCUUUACGAAUUGUAGUUUAAAGAAGUGUUUUCUGUUGAGGUUUUGGUAAAAGUUCUUUGGAAUAGGACAUCAUAGAGGGUGAGAAUCCCGUAUUUGACCUUUACUUUCAACUUUGUGAUACACUUUCAAAGAGUCGGAUUGUUUGGGAAUGCAGUCCAAAAUGGGUGGUAAAUUUCAUCUAAAGCUAAAUAUUGGCGAGAGACCGAUAGCGAACAAGUACCGUGAGGGAAAGAUGAAAAGAACUUUGAAAAGAGAGUUAAACAGUACGUGAAAUUGUCAAAAGGGAAGCGUUUGACACCAGUGUUGUUUUUCUGAAAAUCAAUUAAAGAACUGUUUAUGCUAAGUUGUUUAGACUUUAUCAGCUAACUGUUUAGUUUUGAGCUUUUCUUUAAUGCACUUUUCAGUUAACAAGUCAACAUCAAUUUCUUUUGCUGUAAAAAAGCUUGAGGAAGGUGGCUUGAGAUUCGUCUUAAGUGUUUAUAGCCUCUUGCCUAUGCAGUCGGAGAGAUUGAGGUCUGCAGCGUAGAUCCUUCGGGGCUAAAUGCAUUUGUGCUAAGUUAUAGCAUUUUAUAGACAACUUGUUGACUAUGAUUUGUCUUGUAGCUUACUCGCUUAUGUUAUUUUACCUACGCUUAGGAUGUUGACUGAUAUGUAGUCGU
rnacentral:rRNA from 1 species